rnacentral:rRNA from 1 species
GAACGCUGGCGGCAGGCUUAACACAUGCAAGUCGAGCGGUAACAGGGGGUGCUUGCACCCCGCUGACGAGCGGCGGACGGGUGAGUAAUGCUUAGGAAUCUGCCCAGUAGUGGGGGAUAGCCCGGGGAAACCCGGAUUAAUACCGCAUACGUCCUACGGGAGAAAGCAGGGGAUCUUCGGACCUUGCGCUAUUGGAUGAGCCUAAGUCGGAUUAGCUAGUUGGUGGGGUAAAGGCCUACCAAGGCGACGAUCCGUAGCUGGUUUGAGAGGAUGAUCAGCCACAUCGGGACUGAGACACGGCCCGAACUCCUACGGGAGGCAGCAGUGGGGAAUAUUGGACAAUGGGGGCAACCCUGAUCCAGCCAUGCCGCGUGUGUGAAGAAGGCUUUCGGGUUGUAAAGCACUUUCAGUGAGGAGGAAAACCUUACGGUUAAUAACCGUGAGGCUUGACGUUACUCACAGAAGAAGCACCGGCUAACUCCGUGCCAGCAGCCGCGGUAAUACGGAGGGUGCAAGCGUUAAUCGGAAUUACUGGGCGUAAAGCGCGCGUAGGUGGUUCGAUAAGCGGGAUGUG